rnacentral:rRNA from 1 species
GCAGCCGCGGUAAUUCCAGCUCCAAUAGCGUAUAUUAAAGUUGUUGCAGUUAAAAAGCUCGUAGUUGGAUUUCGGGGCCUGGACGGCUGUCACCCACUGGGUAGGCGUGCCGUCCGGGUCCUUUACUUCCGGGGACGGCGUCACGAUUAAUUUUGGGGCGUUCGGACGCGGAUCGUUUACUUUGAAAAAAUUAGAGUGUUCAAAGCAGGCCUUCGCUUGAAUACAUUAGCAUGGAAUAAUGGAAUAGGACUCUGGGCCUAUUUUGUUGGUUUCUGGGACUAGAGUAAUGAUUAAUAGGGACAGUUGGGGGCGUUCAUAUUCCGAUGUCAGAGGUGAAAUUCUUGGAUUUUCGGAAGAUGAACUUCUGCGAAAGCAUUCGCCAAGGAUGUUUUCAUUAAUCAAGAACGAAAGUUAGGGGAUCGGAGACGAUCAGAUACCGUCGUAGUCUUAACCAUAAACUAUGCCGACUCAGGAUCAGGCGAUGUCCGAUUUCGACUCGCUUGGCACUGUGUGAGAAAUCAAAGUUUUUGGGUUCCGGGGGGAGUAUGGUCGCAAGGCUGAAACUUAAAGGAAUUGACGGAAGGGCACACCAGAAGUGGAGCCUGCGGCUUAAUUUGACUCAACACGGGGAAACUUACCAGGUCCAGACACAGUAAGGAUUGACAGAUUGAGAGCUCUUUCUUGAUUCUGUGGGUGGUGGUGCAUGGCCGUUCUUAGUUGGUGGAGUGAUUUGUCUGGUUAAUUCCGAUAACGAACGAGACCUCAGCCUGCUAACUAGGUCGUCGAUCCACGCGAUCGGUCGACCUUCUUAGAGGGACUAUUCGUGUUUAACGAAGGGAAGUUUGAGGCAAUAACAGGUCUGUGAUG